CCGGAAAGCAUCAGAGAUGGUGCCCCCCUUGUGGUCGGUAUACAGGUGGUGCAUGGCUGUCGUCAGCUCGUGUCGUGAGAUGUUGGGUUAAGUCCCGCAACGAGCGCAACCCUUGUUCUGUGUUGCCAGCAUGCCUUUCGGGGUGAUGGGGACUCACAGGAGACUGCCGGGGUCAACUCGGAGGAAGGUGGGGACGACGUCAAGUCAUCAUGCCCCUUAUGUCUUGGGCUGCACACGUGCUACAAUGGCCGGUACAAUGAGCUGCGAUGCCGUGAGGCGGAGCGAAUCUCAAAAAGCCGGUCUCAGUUCGGAUUGGGGUCUGCAACUCGACCCCAUGAAGUCGGAGUUGCUAGUAAUCGCAGAUCAGCAUUGCUGCGGUGAAUACGUUCCCGGGCCUUGUACACACCGCCCGUCACGUCACGAAAGUCGGUAACACCCGAAGCCGGUGGCCCAACCCCUUGUGGGAGGGAGCUUCG
rnacentral:rRNA from 1 species